rnacentral:rRNA from 1 species
CCUACGGGCGGCAGCAGUGGGGAAUAUUGGACAAUGGGGGGAACCCUGAUCCAGCCAUGCCGCGUGUGUGAAGAAUGCCCUCGGGUUGUAAAGCACUUUCAGUGAGGAAGAACGCCUGGUGGUUAAUACCCAUCAGGAAAGACAUCACUCACAGAAGAAGCACCGGCUAACUCCGUGCCAGCAGCCGCGGUAAUACGGAGGGUGCGAGCGUUAAUCGGAAUUACUGGGCGUAAAGCGCGCGUAGGUGGCUUGAUAAGCCGGUUGUGAAAGCCCCGGGCUCAACCUGGGAACGGCAUCCGGAACUGGCAAGCUAGAGUGCAGGAGAGGAAGGUAGAAUUCCCGGUGUAGCGGUGAAAUGCGUAGAGAUCGGGAGGAAUACCAGUGGCGAAGGCGGCCUUCUGGACUGACACUGACACUGAGGUGCGAAAGCGUGGGUAGCAAACAGGAUUAGAUACCCGAGUAGUC